GAUGAACGCUGGCGGCGUGCCUAAUACAUGCGAGUCGAGCGAACAGACGAGGAGCUUGCUCCUCUGACGUUAGCGGCGGACGGGUGAGUAACACGUGGAUAACCUACCUAUAAGACUGGGAUAACCUCGGGAAACCGGAGCUAAUACCGGAUAAUAUAUUGAACCGCAUGGUUCAAUAGUGAAAGACGGUUUUGCUGUCACUUAUAGAUGGAUCCGCGCCGCAUUAGCUAGUUGGUAAGGUAACGGCUUACCAAGGCAACGAUGCGUAGCCGACCUGAGAGGGUGAUCGGCCACACUGGAACUGAGACACGGUCCAGACUCCUACGGGAGGCAGCAGUAGGGAAUCUUCCGCAAUGGGCGAAAGCCUGACGGAGCAACGCCGCGUGAGUGAUGAAGGUCUUCGGAUCGUAAAACUCUGUUAUUAGGGAAGAACAAAUGUGUAAGUAACUAUGCACGUCUUGACGGUACCUAAUCAGAAAGCCACGGCUAACUACGUG
rnacentral:rRNA from 1 species